GUUCCACUAGCAUUAAUGAUCACAGUGGUGGUUGUGGCAGUUUUAACAAUAAAAGGCUGCAAAAAAACCAACACAAAGACACCAAACAAGCCUGAAACUCAUGGGAACUCCUUGACAUCUGAGGACUGUCUGAAAGAAUCAAACUCUGCUGCUAUAGAAGAAAAGAAUCAAGAUUCUGUGACGUCCACUGCACAACUUUUAUCUCUUUGACUUUCCCAAAACGUCUUUCAU